AUUGAACGCUGCGGCAUGCCUACACAUGCAAGUCGACGGUAACAGGUCUUCGGAUGCUGACGAGUGGCGAACGGGUGAGUAAUACAUCGGAACGUGCCCGAUCGUGGGGGAUAACGGAGCGAAAGCUUUGCUAAUACCGCAUACGAUCUACGGAUGAAAGCAGGGGACCGCAAGGCCUUGCGCGGACGGAGCGGCCGAUGGCAGAUUAGGUAGUUGGUGGGAUAAAAGCUUACCAAGCCGACGAUCUGUAGCUGGUCUGAGAGGACGACCAGCCACACUGGGACUGAGACACGGCCCAGACUCCUACGGGAGGCAGCAGUGGGGAAUUUUGGACAAUGGGCGCAAGCCUGAUCCAGCCAUGCCGCGUGCAGGAUGAAGGCCUUCGGGUUGUAAACUGCUUUUGUACGGAACGAAAAGACUCUUUCUAAUAAAGAGGGUCCAUGACGGUACCGUAAGAAUAAGCACCGGCUAACUACGUG
rnacentral:rRNA from 1 species